CCUUGCCUUUGAGAGUGACCACUCAGGCAUGAGCUGUUUAAGAUGAGAACAGGAGUGGGAAAUGGGGUGACGGGGACACCACAAUACUUCACAAACCUGUUAACUCAGUGGGACAACACAAAACAGAUCAUAAUGACAAAAGAAAGUCCAGGUCACAAGCUGACAGAGUCUGUGAUUAUCAACUCUUCAUCCUCAAUGACCAAAAGCAGGAAAGCAAGACAGCAAGGACAGUGACUGUGCCCUCUGCGGCAGCUUGAAGGGUCUGGAUAAAUCUUCUUUUAAAUGUUAUUGUCCAACCAGGGAUGCUUGGGAGUAAAUCAAGUGAUGCAGCCUGGUGAGCAGCAGAAAGCAUGUGCUGACUUAGAGGGCCUCAGCAUCUCAGUGUGGGUAUUCCUGAAACCCGAGGCUCAGUGCUGAGCUUCCUCAGAAAGCACAAAGGUGACUGGUGAAAUUAAUAUAACGUUGCCUCGCCUGCAGACUAUUGAUUCUGCCUCAUUUCCUGGCUCCUCUUUUCCAUUCUGAAGACAUUAGCUACAGGGGCUAUUGAUCAACAAGUUGCCUGUCACUUCUUUGGGUGCAAAGGACAAGAGCCCUGUCACCUCAGUGCCACAGAAUAGAUGGAGAGGUAAAAGGUCAGAGAUGAAAGGCCUUUGAUUGUCUCUCCUUUGUAGUCAGCCUCCGGGAAGCACCUGCAGAGCUUCUGUUUACAUUGUCCUUGGGGAGGAAGGUGGAAAACUGUUGCACCCAGCACCUGCCUGAUGUAGGCAAGGCAGAACUCUUAUCUUCCUCAGGUGGUCAGGGGAGGGAUGGAUUGUUUGUGUGUAAGGCAGGUUGCCUUUUUAUGGAAAAAGCCCAUGCUUCCUAGGCUCUUCAUUUGUUGUGGACAUUGCCAGAGCCUCAUCCAUCUGGAAAGUGCAGUGCUGUUAGGCAUUGAGUGAAAAACACCCAAAUCAAUUUCCUCUAAGAAAAGAAAUGGGACCUCCUUUUUUUUCUCCUUUAAGAUCUGAUGACGCCAUUGAUUUCAUUGUUGAACCAGAGAAGAGCAGGUCAGGAGGGUUCAUCAUGAAACUAAGAGAAAGCAAGCUAGAAGAAAACGUGAUUUCUUAUCCAACUCCACACAAAUUUGAGAGGUUGAAAGCCUAUGCCCUGCAAUUGGAAACUUGAGCAUCACUGCAUUUCAAGCUCCUCCUCCUCCUUGUCUGUCCCUCAUCAAUGAAGCUUGAAGAACCCCUCUGCUGAGCCCACCACUAGACACUUGUCACUGCUACUGGAAAACUUCAGAAUCUCAUUCGUCUUCAUCUUCACAUUUGCCCUUAUUCUGGGCAUAUGUGACCAUGUGACCUCCUAGAUCUUUGACCUAAUGACCCUUUUCUCUGCUUAGCUUUGGCUUCCUGUUCUCACAGUGCAGGCUAAGAAGUCUAAACCACAUUAUCUCUUGAAUGGCUCCACCUCCACCCUCAGUCUCAGACACCCUCCUCACUGACAUAUUGCCUGUCCCUGAAGCUUACUCAGAUCUGUCACAGUCACCCUUCCUCUCUCUAGACCAUUUCCACUCCCCCUCCCAUCUACUCUUUCCCAUUUAUGGGCCCUUCUUCAUGACUUGUCCUGAUGUGCAGGUUGGAUCCUGUGGCCUAUGAUGCGAACCUUGCAUACCUGGCAAGCUUGAAAUCCAAAUCAUAUCAACACAUUCUCCAUCUUGAUAUGUACCAGGCCACUGAGGGCUGCUGAGAGACAGCCCAACUAGCCAGACAGAGAUGACUGGAAAUGCUCCAACACCAGCCUCCCAGGGUGCAACAUACUCCUGGCAAUCUCACACUUCUCUAGUCUACCUACUCUC